UGCGUAGGCGGGCUAAUAAGUCAGUGGUGAAAUCUUCCGGCUCAACCGGGAACCUGCCAUUGAUACUGUUAGUCUUGAGUACGGCUGAGGUAGGCGGAAUGUGUAAUGUAGCGGUGAAAUGCUUAGAUAUUACACAGAACACCAAUUGCGUAGGCAGCUUACCAGACCGUAACUGACGCUGAGGCACGAAAGCGUGGGUAGCGAACAGGAUUAGAUACCCUGGUAGUCC
rnacentral:rRNA from 1 species